GAUGAACGCUGGCGGCGUGCCUAAUACAUGCAAGUCGAGCGAAAGGACGAUAAGCUUGCUGCUCUGAUGUUAGCCGUGGACGGGAGAGUAACAUGUGGAUCACCUCCCUAUAAGACUGGGAUAACUUCGGGAAACCGUAGCUAAUACCGGAUAAUAUUUUGAACCGCAUGGUUCAAAAGUGAAAGACGGUCUUGCUGUCACUUAUAGAUGGAUCCGCGCUGCUUUAGCUAGUUGGUAAGGUAACGGCUUACCAUGGCAACGAUGCAUAGCCGACCUGAGAGGGGGAUAGGCCACACGGGAACUGAGACACGGUCCAGACUCCUACGGGAGGCAGCAGUAGGGAAUCUUCCGCAAUGGGCGAAAGCCUGACGGAGCAACGCCGCGUGAGUGAUGAAGGUCUUCGGAUCGUAAAACUCUGUUAUUAGGGAAGAACAUAUGUGUAAGUAACUGUGCACAUCUUGACGGUACCUAAUCAGAAAGCCACGGCUAACUACGUG
rnacentral:rRNA from 1 species